rnacentral:tRNA from 1 species
CCUUCGAAAGCUCAGUUGGUAGAGCGGAGGACUGUAGAUCCUUAGGUCGCUGGUUCGAAUCCGGCUCGAAGGU